UAUCUUUGUCCCACAUCUAUCAGAGUAUCAAUUCGUCGCCUUUUACUACGGAUUGCCUUGGAUAGUUGGACUUGUUAAGAUGUGUAUUUUUUGUAGCCCUUCUGGGU
rnacentral:snRNA from 1 species